rnacentral:rRNA from 1 species
UAGCUAGUUGGUGAGGUAACGGCCCACCAAGGCGACGAUCGGUGGCCGGACUGAGAGGUUGAACGGCCACAUUGGGACUGAGACACGGCCCAGACUCCUACGGGAGGCAGCAGUGGGGAAUAUUGCACAAUGGGGGAAACCCUGAUGCAGCGACGCCGCGUGGAGGAAGAAGGUCUUCGGAUUGUAAACUCCUGUUGUUGAGGAAGAUAAUGACGGUACUCAACAAGGAAGUGACGGCUAACUACGUGCCAGCAGCCGCGGUAAAACGUAGGUCACAAGCGUUGUCCGGAAUUACUGGGUGUAAAGGGAGCGCAGGCGGGAAGACAAGUUGGAAGUGAAAUCUAUGGGCUCAACCCAUAAACUGCUUUCAAAACUGUUUUUCUUGAGUAGUGCAGAGGUAGGCGGAAUUCCCGGUGUAGCGGUGGAAUGCGUAGAUAUCGGGAGGAACACCAGUGGCGAAGGCGGCCUACUGGGCACCAACUGACGCUGAGGCUCGAAAGUGUGGGUAGCAAACAGGAUUAGAUACCCUGGUAGUCCACACUGUAAACGAUGAUUACUAGGUGUUGGAGGAUUGACCCCUUCAGUGCCGCAGUUAACACAAUAAGUAAUCCACCUGGGGAGUACGACCGCAAGGUUGAAACUCAAAGGAAUUGACGGGGGCCCGCACAAGCAGUGGAGUAUGUGGUUUAAUUCGACGCAACGCGAAGAACCUUACCAAGUCUUGACAUCCCUUGACGAACAUAGAAAUAUGUUUUCUCUUCGGAGCAAGGAGACAGGUGGUGCAUGGUUGUCGUCAGCUCGUGUCGUGAGAUGUUGGGUUAAGUCCCGCAACGAGCGCAACCCUUAUGGUCAGUUACUACGCAAGAGGACUCUGGCCAGACUGCCGUUGACAAAACGGAGGAAGGUGGGGAUGACGUCAAAUCAUCAUGCCCUUUAUGACUUGGGCUACACACGUACUACAAUGGCGUUAAACAAAGAGAAGCGAGACCGCGAGGUGGAGCAAAACUCAGAAACAACGUCCCAGUUCGGACUGCAGGCUGCAACUCGCCUGUACGAAGUCGGAAUUGCUAGUAAUCGUGGAUCAGCAUGCCACGGUGAAUACGUUCCCGGGCCUUGUACACACCGCCCGUCACACCAUGAGAGCCGGGGGGACCCGAAGUCGGUAGUCUAACCGCAAGGAGGACGCCGCCGAAGGUAAAACUGGUGAUUGGGGUGAAGUCGUAACAAGGUAG